CCGCAUGCGGGUGCUGCCAUCUCGUGCCCGGGCCGGGAAUGCGCCGGGCCGGCGGCCGCCAAUCGCCGCCGAACCCCGGCCGAGCGCGGUGCCCGGGCAGCGGCCGAUGCUCCUGGACACUUUCCCCGAUUCGUCCCGCGGCCCCUCCGACAGCGGGGCCGCCUCCCCGAGGGAAUCCCGGCCGGGAAAGCGGCGCCGCGCCCGGGAUCCCUCACAGGCAGCGCUCGCUCCCCCCUCGCGGGGCUCCGGGAGCGCACCCGGCAAGGGGAAAAGCUCUCCCUCUUCUAAUCUGGUUUGUUUGUGGACACGUGGCCGUGGUUUAUUUGUGCGUUGGAUUGACACGCUCUCAGACACUGCGGAGCUGAUAGGCAAAAAAAUCCAGUGGAAGGUCAAAGAUGAUGAUUUUGGAGAAGAGGAAUCACCUGCGAGAGACCCAGGAGCAGCUGGACACAGAAUAUCCACAGAAUGGACUGCAGUGACAGAGAUGGAAGCCAUUGGGAUGUAUUUUCAACAGCUGUUGACAGAAAAUAUUCAGUCAUGAGGUUAGCUGAGUUUUAAGCACCAGACUUGGGAACUGUUGCAACCCAAAAGCAAUGCUUACCAGCCAUUUUUAUUUCAUUGGUGAGGAGGCUUCAGGUUUAAAGCACUACAGGAAGCUCAGCCUGUCCCUUUAAAUACACCAAAAACACAAUGGCUCAGAUGGCAGAAGAUAGGCAUAGAGUUUAGGAUAUCCACAUCUCUUGCAAAGAAAGGUCUUGGGAAAAUGGAUCAAAAACUUAUUUGUCUGGACAUGAGGACCAGAAAUAACACAGUAAGCAAAUUGUGGCCUGACUCUGAACACUGCAAGAAAUCUUCUAGGGUUCCUUGAAGGUCAACGAUAUCUUGAUCUCAGGUU